CCUACGGGUGGCAGCAGUGAGGAAUAUUGGUCAAUGGACGAGAGUCUGAACCAGCCAAGUAGCGUGAAGGAUGACUGCCCUAUGGGUUGUAAACUUCUUUUAUAUGGGAAUAAAACGUUCCACGUGUGGGAUUUUGUAUGUACCAUAUGAAUAAGGAUCGGCUAAAUCCGUGCCAGCAGCCGCGGUAAUACGGAGGAUCCGAGCGUUAUUCGGAUUUAUUGGGUUUAAAGGGAGCGUAGGUGGAUUGUUAAGUCAGUUGUGAAAGUUUGCGGCUCAACCGUAAAAUUGCAGUUGAAACUGGCAGUCUUGAGUACAGUAGAGGUGGGCGGAAUUCGUGGUGUAGCGGUGAAAUGCUUAGAUAUCACGAAGAACUCCGAUUGCGAAGGCAGUUCACUGGACUGCAACUGACACUGAGGCUCGAAAGUGUGGGUAUCAAACAGGAUUAGAUACCCCUGUAGUC
rnacentral:rRNA from 1 species